rnacentral:rRNA from 1 species
UACGUAGGGGGCAAGCGUUAUCCGGAUUUACUGGGUGUAAAGGGAGCGUAGACGGCCAGACAAGUCUGAAGUAAAAAUCCAGCGCUUAACGUUGGAAGUGCUUUGGAAACUGCCGGGCUAGAGUGCAGGAGGGGCAGGCGGAAUUCCUAGUGUAGCGGUGAAAUGCGUAGAUAUUAGGAGGAACACCAGUGGCGAAGGCGGCCUGCUGGACUGCAACUGACGUUGAGGCUCGAAGGCGUGGGGAGCAAACAGG